rnacentral:rRNA from 1 species
CGAGUAGGCGGGAUUGCAAGUCAGAUGUGAAAUCUAUCGGCUUAACCGAUAGACUGCAUUUGAAACUGCGGUUCUUGAGUGAUGGAGAGGCAGGCGGAAUUCCUAGUGUAGCGGUGAAAUGCGUAGAUAUUAGGAGGAACACCAGUGGCGAAGGCGGCCUGCUGGACAUUAACUGACGCUGAGGCGCGAAAGCGUGGGAGCAAACA